AACGGGCGCCACGCGUGGCGCCGUGAGAGUACCCGGAGAAUAAGCAUCGGCUAACUCCGUGCCAGCAGCCGCGGUAAUACGGAGGAUGCGAGCGUUAUCCGGAUUCAUUGGGUUUAAAGGGUGCGCAGGCGGCGCUCCAAGUCAGCGGUCAAAUCGCCGGGCUCAACCCGGUGCCGCCGUUGAAACUGGAGUGCUCGAGUAGGUGCGACGGAGGCGGAAUGCGUGGUGUAGCGGUGAAAUGCAUAGAUAUCACGCAGAACCCCGAUUGCGAAGGCAGCCUCCGAGCCCCCGACUGACGCUGAGGCACGAAAGCGUGGGUAUCGAACAGGAUUAGAUACCCUGGUAGUCCACGCGGUAAACGAUGAAUACUGGUUAUCCGGCGCGAUUGUGCGCUGGGUGACUCAAGCGAAAGCAUUAAGUAUUCCACCUGGGGAGUACGCCGGCAACGGUGAAACUCAAAGGAAUUGACGGGGGCCCGCACAAGCGGAGGAACAUGUGGUUUAAUUCGAUGAUACGCGAGGAACCUUACCCGGGCUCAAACGCGCAGAGACAGCCGCGGAAACGCGGUCUCCCCUCGGGGCCCUGUGCGAGGUGCUGCAUGGUUGUCGUCAGCUCGUGCCGUGAGGUGUCGGCUUAAGUGCCAUAACGAGCGCAACCCCCAUCUCCAGUUGCCACCGCGUAGAGGCGGGCACUCUGGAGAGACUGCCGGCGCAAGCUGUGAGGAAGGCGGGGAUGACGUCAAAUCAGCACGGCCCUUAUGUCCGGGGCGACACACGUGUUACAAUGGCGGGGCACAGAAGGAAGCCAGGCUGCGAGGCCGAGCCGAUCCCGAAAACCCGUCUCAGUUCGGAUCGGAGUCUGCAACCCGACUCCGUGAAGCUGGAUUCGCUAGUAAUCGCGCAUCAGCCAUGGCGCGGUGAAUACGUUCCCGGGCCUUGUACACACCGCCCG
rnacentral:rRNA from 1 species